rnacentral:rRNA from 1 species
GACGAACGCUGGCGGCGUGCUUAACACAUGCAAGUCGAACGGAAAGGCCCUGCUUUUUUGGGGUGCUCGAGUUGCGAACGGGUGAGUAACACGUGAGUAACCUGCCCUUGACUUUGGGAUAACUUCAGGAAACUGGGGCUAAUCCCGGAUAGGAGCUCCUGCUGCAUGGUGGGGGUUGGAAAGUUUCGGCGGUUGGGGAUGGACUCGCGGCUUAUCAGCUUGUUGGUGGGGUAGUGGCUUACCAAGGCUUUGACGGGUAGCCGGGCUGAGAGGGUGACCGGCCACAUUGGGACUGAGAUGCGGCCCAGACUCCUACGGGAGGCAGCAGUGGGGAAGAUUGCACAAUGGGCGGAAGCCUGAUGCAGCAACGCAGCGUGGGGGAUGACGGCCUUCGGGUUGGAUUCCGCUUUCGCCUGUGACGAAGUGUGAGUGACGGUAAUGGGUAAAGAAGCACCGGCUAACUACGUG